CCUACGGGAGGCAGCAGUGGGGAAUAUUGGACAAUGGGGGCAACCCUGAUCCAGCCAUGCCGCGUGUGUGAAGAAGGCCCUCGGGUUGUAAAGCACUUUCAGUGAGGAAGAACGCCUGGUGGUUAAUACCCAUCAGGAAAGACAUCACUCACAGAAGAAGCACCGGCUAACUCCGUGCCAGCAGCCGCGGUAAUACGGAGGGUGCGAGCGUUAAUCGGAAUUACUGGGCGUAAAGCGCGCGUAGGUGGCUUGAUAAGCCGGUUGUGAAAGCCCCGGGCUCAACCUGGGAACGGCAUCCGGAACUGUCAAGCUAGAGUGCAGGAGAGGAAGGUAGAAUUCCCGGUGUAGCGGUGAAAUGCGUAGAGAUCGGGCGGAAUACCAGUGGCGAAGGCGGCCUUCUGGACUGACACUGACACUGAGGUGCGAAAGCGUGGGUAGCAAACAGGAUUAGAUACCCGAGUAGUC
rnacentral:rRNA from 1 species